rnacentral:rRNA from 1 species
UACGUAGGGGGCAAGCGUUGUCCGGAAUUAUUGGGCGUAAAGCGCGCGCAGGCGGUCCUUUAAGUCUGAUGUGAAAGCCCACGGCUCAACCGGGGAGGGUCAUUGGAAACUGGGGGACUUGAGUGCAGAAGAGGAGAGUGGAAUUCCACGUGUAGCGGUGAAAUGCGCAGAUAUCAGGAAGAACACCCGUGGCGAAGGCGGCUCGCUGGGACGGUACUGACGCUGAGACGCGAAAGCGUGGGGAGCGAACAGG